AGUCAUUUCAAAAAGGGCUUGUAAGGAUAGGAAACCAAGAGUUCUUAAAGCUGUGAACUAAAAUGGAAUUUCUCCUUAAGAUGCCACAGUAGUGCCAUGUUUUCCUGAGGAGAUACACGA
ensembl:snoRNA